GCCUCCAUAGCUCAGUGGCUAGAGCGCUGGUCUAGUAAACCAGAGGUCAGGAGUUCGGUCCUCCUUGGAGGCA
rnacentral:tRNA from 1 species